rnacentral:piRNA from 1 species
GUGUAUAUGGAGACCUGUUUAGGGA